rnacentral:lncRNA from 1 species
AAUUUAUUCUUUAUUUCAUUGCAAAACCUUCAAACUGUCACCCAUAUUUAAAAUGAAAAAUCCAUCUAUUAGUACUAUUAUACUUUUUUUUUUAAGAAUAAAUAUCCCAACAGGUUUGGUAAUUGGGUAUUUUUAUAUCUAUUGCAGUACUGUGCUCAAGGCACUGGGUGAUAUAUAAGACCCAUAGAGUCUUGCUUCAACUAGCUUGCACUAAAGAAUCUGAAUGCAGAGAAACAACAGAGCCUGAAAUAAGUCAUCAGCUGAGCACUGGACUGGAGAACUGUGGGGAUCAUGAAUCCAAUGAGAAAAAUACAGUUAGCAUGAACACAUUUCACGUUAACCAGAAAAUAUUGCCUCAAAGUGGAACAAAAACAACAAAAAAGAUGUCACGGCCCUUUGGCGAGUUCCUUGGACAAUAUCAUGCGAC